GGUGGUGUUCGCGUUCAGCAUCGAUCCCCGGCUUGGUUGGUUCCCGUGACGUCACAAUAAGGGAGAGGCGGCUCGAGCCGGGAUUCGGUGAGAGAUCUUGCUAGUGCCUCUCUCGGUGCGCUCUUGACUGCACCGUUCCUUUGGUGCUCGCGUUUAACAUCCCACACGACCGUUUAAACAACCUUUAUAUUUCUUCCUUUAACACUUUUUUCUUUUUUUUCAUUCAAACCACCACUCAUCCUUCUUUCAUUAUUUCUUUUCCUUUCGUAUUGACUUUAAAUUUUUCUGUUUUUUUUUUUAUUUUUUGCAUCAACAAGUCAAAUUAUAAAAGCAACAAAUCAAGUGAAGCAAGCAACCAAUCAACCGACGGGUCUUUUAGAGUUUUCAGAUCGAUCGCGACCUUCGACUUCGACUUCGACGAAGUUGUUCUUCUUGUCUCGUCUUGGCGCUCCCACGCGCCAUCUCUCUCUCUCUCUCUCUCUCUCUCUUUCUCUCUCUCUUUCCUUUGAUUUGAUCUGUUUCUAUCUCUUUUUCUCUGCGGCGCGCGCCCCUGACGCACGCGAGUGCCUCGGACUCGACCUCCCUCGACGUCCGAGAUAAAUCUUCCUCAAGUCAAAGAACUCUCCCUCCCUCCUCCCCUCUCCCUCAAUGUUCUAUUUACUUUCAUGUAUCUUUUAAAAGAUUAAUCACAUACCAAUUCUUCAUGUAGAUGUUUAAUUGUUUAAGCAACAUUUUAUCAACAAGAGUAUCGAGAUUCUUCUAUAUUUUUCUGAUCUUAGCCAUGCUUAAAGAAAAGAGUUAGGAGGGUUGACCUUCGUGCUCUUUCGUCGCGCGGUCGUUGCACUUUAAAUGGAAGAAACGCGUAGUCAUCGCGAGGAAUUCUCAAAGGAAGGAAAGGCCAACGAUAGUGAAAAGAAGAAAGGAGGUUAACGUGACAAUCAACAACAAUAAAGAAUAAUCUAUCAAAAGUAAUCAUUUUAGCCAUUGUUAUACGAUCAUUCAUUUGAUAGAAACAAAAAAAGAGAAAACAACUAAUAAUUUUAUAACAAAAUUCCUUUUAUAUUAAUUAUACACAAUCAUAGUAAUCAGUAUCACAAUAGUGAUCAAUUUAUGACCCAUUGUCCAGCCGUUAGUUGCGUUUAGCGAGGAAAAUCAAAGAUGGCGCCUUGAAAUCUUUUCUUCUUCCUCGAAAUGGCCUAGUCCUUCAAAUUUAUACGUUUUUUUUAUUUUUUUUCGAACACA